AGAGUUUGAUCCUGGCUCAGAUUGAACGCUGGCGGCAUGCCUAACACAUGCAAGUCGAACGGAAACGAUGGAAGCUUGCUUCCAGGCGUCGAGUGGCGGACGGGUGAGUAAUACUUAGGAAUCUGCCAGUAGUGGGGGACAACUCGGGGAAACUCGAGCUAAUACCGCAUACGCCCUACGGGGGAAAGCGGAGGAUCUUUCGGGACUUCGCGCUAUUGGAUGAGCCUAAGUCGGAUUAGCUUGUUGGUGAGGUAAAAGCUCACCAAGGCGACGAUCCGUAGCUGGUCUGAGAGGACGAUCAGCCACACUGGGACUGAGACACGGCCCAGACUCCUAUGGGAGGCAGCAGUGGGGAAUAUUGGACAAUGGGGGCAACCCUGAUCCAGCAAUGCCGCGUGUGUGAAGAAGGCCUGCGGGUUGUAAAGCACUUUCAGUAGAGAAGAAAAGUUCAGGGUUAAUACCCCUGAAUCUUGACGUUACCUACAGAAGAAGCUCCGGCUAACUCCGUGCCAGCAGCCGCGGUAAUACGGAGGGAGCGAGCGUUAAUCGGAAUUACUGGGCGUAAAGCGCGCGUAGGCGGCUUCGUAAGUCGGAUGUGAAAGCCCCGGGCUCAACCUGGGAAUGGCAUUCGAUACUGCAGAGCUAGAGUAUGGUAGAGGGAAGUGGAAUUUCCGGUGUAGCGGUGAAAUGCGUAGAUAUCGGAAGGAACACCAGUGGCGAAGGCGACUUCCUGGGCCAAUACUGACGCUAAGGUGCGAAAGCGUGGGGAGCAAACAGGAUUAGAUACCCUGGUAGUCCACGCCGUAAACGAUGAGAACUAGAUGUCGGAGGAAAUUGUCCUUC
rnacentral:rRNA from 1 species